rnacentral:rRNA from 1 species
GUAGGGAAUAUUGGGCAAUGGAUGCAAGUCUGACCCAGCCAUCCCGCGUGCCGGAAGAAGGCCCUCAGGGUUGUAAACGGCUUUUGACGGUGAAGAAUCGACAGGAUGCGUCCUGUUUUGACGGUAGCCGUUGAAUAAGCACCGGCUAACUCCGUGCCAGCAGCCGCGGUAAUACGGAGGGUGCGAGCGUUGUCCGGAUUUAUUGGGUUUAAAGGGUGCGUAGGCUGGAAGGUCAGUCAGCGGUGAAAAGCUGUCGCUUAACGAUAGUCUGUCCGCAGAUACUUCCUUACUUGGAUGAGGAGGAGGCCACUGGAACGGAUGGUGUAGCGGUGAAAUGCAUAGAUAUCAUCCAGAACACCGAUUGCGAAGGCAGGUGGCUGUACCUUAAUCGACGCUGAUGCACGAAAGCAUGGGGAGCAAACAGGAUUAGAAACCCUUGUAGUCC